UACGUAGGUGGCGAGCGUUGUCCGGAUUUACUGGGCGUAAAGGGCGUGCAGGCGGUUUGUUAAGUGCAGGGUGAAAGCUCCCGGCUCAACUGGGAGAGGUCCUUGCAUACUGGCGAACUCGAGGGAGGCAGAGGAAAGUGGAAUUCCCGGUGUAGUGGUGAUAUGCGCAGAUAUCAGGAGGAACACCGGUGGCGAAGGCGGGUCUCUGGGCAGUAACUGACGCUGAGGAGCGAAAGCGUGGGGAGCGAACAGG
rnacentral:rRNA from 1 species